rnacentral:rRNA from 1 species
UUCGACAAGAGAGUGCUAAUCCCAAUACGUCCAGAACACAGGCGGACUUAGGCUGCAUGAUGUCUAGUUGGAUUAGGUAGUAUGUAGUAACGUUCACUAGCGACGAUCGCUAGCUGUCGAAAGAUGAUCAGUCCACCUGAACUGAGACCCGUCAGACUCCUACGGAGGCAGCAGUGGGGAAUAUGCCAUGGGCGAAGCUGUUCCAGCCAUGCGGGGUGUUGAGAAGUCUCGAGUGUAAAGUACUUUCAGCGGGAGGAAGGCAGUAAGUUAAUCCCUUUGGCGAUUGACGUAACCCGCAGAAUGAACAACGGUUACUUCCUUGCCACCGGCCGCGGUUAUAACGGAGGUGCAAAGCGUUAAUCGGAUUAACUGGGCGGUAAAGGGCAGGCAGGUCGGUCUGUCAGGUCGGAAUGUGAAAUCCCCGGGUUCACCUGGGGAACUGCUUUCGAAACUGCCAGGUUAGAGUCUGGUAGAGGGGGGUGGAUUUCCUGGGUAGGGUUGAAAGCCGUGAAAAUGUGAAGGACACCCGUUGCCGAAGCCGCCCCCCUGGACAAAGAUUACACCUCAGUGCCGAAACGGUGGGGACCAACCAGGAUUAGAUCCCUUGUUAUUCCCGCCCGUAACGGAUUUCGACUGGGAGUGGGAUCCCUGGAGGCGUGGUUUCCGCACCUAACCCGUUAAGUCGACCCCCUGGGAAGUACGCCGCCAAGGUUAAAAUUCAAUUGAAUUGACGGGGGCCCGCCCAAGCGGUGGACCAUGUGGUUUAUUCCGAUGCAACCCGAAGACCUUUACCUACUCUUGACAUCCAGAGAAUUUACCAAAGAGGCUUUGGUCCUUUCGGGAAUUCUGAGCCAGGUGCUGCAUGGUGUUGUUCAGUUGGUUUUGUGAAAUGUUGGGUUAAUUCCCGCAACGAGCGCACCCUUUUUCUUUUGUUGCCACCGGUUAGGCCGGGAACUCAAAGGAGACUGCCAGUGAUAAACCGGAGGAAGGUGGGGAUGACGUCAAGUCAUCAUGGCCCUUACGACUAGGGCUACACACGUGCUACAAUGGCGCAUACAAAGAGAAGCCACCUCGCGAGAGCAAGCGGACCUCAUAAAGUGCGUCGUAGUCCGGAUUGGAGUCUGCAACUCGACUCCAUGAAGUCGGAAUCGCUAGUAAUCCGUGGAUCAGAAUGUCCACGGUGAAUACGUUCCCGGGCCUUGUACACACCGCCCGUCAACACCAAUGGGGAAGGUUGGGGUUUGCAACACAAGAAGUAAGGGUAGUCUUAACCUUCGGAGAGCUGCUACUCUACGAGUUGAUCCAAACGG